UAGAAACAGCGAGCCUGUAACAGAGAAUUGAACUAAGAAGAAGAAGAGAGAGAGAGAGAGGAGUGUGUGUGUGUGAGAGAGAGAGAGAAAGCGAAAGAAGCGAUUUAGGAGUGUUUAUUUCUCAGCAAUCUCUCCAUCUGUGCUUUGCAUGAAUGAAUGUCUCUGGAUGUGCUGUGUGCAUGAACAUGGCACAUGACACACUGGGGCUCCGAUCGAUCCCCCACAUGCCUGAAGUGCACUUUUAUUAACCUGGAACUUCUUUACUCUUUUAAGAGAUCACUCUUUCUUCCUUCCCUGAGAGAGAGAGAGAGAGAGAGAGAGAGAGAGAGAGAGUGCGUGCGUGCGCGUGCUGUCUGAUUGAGAGAAAAUAAUUCAUCUUCAUCCUAUCUUCAUGAUCCAGUAACACCUGGAAAAAGACACCUGUCCUCUCAACAUGUGGAUCUAGCAGCAUUUUCUUUAAAGGAUUGCUUCUGCUUUGGAUUUCUUUCACUGCUUUGAAUCAGAGUUUUCAGUGGAUAGUGAGAGACGAUUAUUUAGCAUAUAUGGAAGGAGCCUCCAGUGUCAGCACUUUGUAACAGACAGCUGCAAGUGUUGCAGAUGGAAGCUGGUUCUUUGUAACAUGACAACGGAACAGACCAUCUGUUUAAAAUGUAAGAUUUGUCAUUCUUUAAUAAAUAUAAAGACACUGAAGGUACAAAAUAUGUGCUCUUAAUGGUACCACACCAGCGACAAGCAAAAGUACAGUUCGGUGCCUUUAAUUCUGAUAGUGAUAAUGGCCCAUAAUUAGUGUAGCUCUAGCUCAAAUUGUGUGUGGGUGUGUAUUAAGAGCCAUAUGAUAGACUGCUCUCUGGAUACAAGAAAGGUUACUGCUAAUUAAACCGCAUUCUUCUUCACUGGAGCGCAAAAUGCUGAGUGCCCCAAGUGAUCCAGUGGCAGCUGUUGCUCUCCAAACACCUCCGAACCCUGUCUGCUUUUCGCACCCGGUGUGUUUGUGUGUGUGUGUGUGUGUGUGUGUGUGUGAGCUGAAUUGGUUGUCCUGCCAUUCUCAGAGAAGAAGGUGUGAUCUCAAGCUCGCGAAAGUCUUGAGUCUCAGUCACUGGUGUGUUCUGUCUUCUGUCUGCUGAGGGAAAAAAACAACCCUGUGGAGAGCCUCAAAAUCUUGUCAGGUCUUUCACAUCUUCACCUCACGUCUUGCACUCUCUGAUAAACAUCACACUAAACAGCUCUGAUUUACAUGCCAAUCCCUUUAUCACAGAGCUCCUUUUCCCAGGAAGCACCUCUCAGAUGCAGGAGUAGGGGUGUGUGGGGGAAUUUCGAUCAGUGAUAAUGAAGCAGUCCUGUUUCAUAUAAUGUGAUAUCUUAUGUACCGUAUCAGUCAUGGUGUCAGUUAUCUCUUAUUCGUCUUUCUAUGGAAAGAAUGCUGAGGUGACUAAAGUCCACGAAAUAUCUAAUGC
ensembl:lncRNA